UACGAAGGGUGCAAGCGUUAUUCGGAAUUACUGGGCGUAAAGCGUGCGUAGGCGGUUUGUUAAGUCUGCUGUGAAAGCCCUGGGCUCAACCUGGGAAUGGCGGUGGAUACUGACAAGCUAGAGUGCGGUAGAGGAGGGUGGAAUUCCCGGUGUAGCGGUGAAAUGCGUAGAGAUCGGGAGGAACACCAGUGGCGAAGGCGGCCCUCUGGACCAGUACUGACGCUGAGGCACGAAAGCGUGGGGAGCAAACAGG
rnacentral:rRNA from 1 species